AAAAGUCUUCACAUCACAUGCGGUUAGGAACAACAUCAGGAAGCUGAAGGGUACAACACUUUUCAGCAUUAAGACGCUGACUUGGACUCAACCUGGACUCGAGUCCCAGAUUUGCUGACUUUCUGCUCUACAUAAUCGAAGAAGACUUGGAAGAAGAAGAAGAAGAAGAAACCUUGGAAAGACUUGAUACAUUCCUCAAAAGCAAAGAUUAAAAACGAAGUGCAGCACUCUCCCGAACCCUGAGACUACCUGUAGGAGGUGGUGUGAGUUCAGCUGCACUGGAACUGUGCUGCAUUUCCUGUGAAAGUGACUCAUACUCAGGUAUGUACGUAUUCAGG